rnacentral:rRNA from 1 species
GAUGAACGCUGGCGGCGUGCCUAAUACAUGCAAGUCGAGCGAACAGAUGAGAAGCUUGCUUCUCUGAUGUUAGCGGCGGACGGGUGAGUAACACGUGGGUAACCUACCUAUAAGACUGGGAUAACUCCGGGAAACCGGGGCUAAUACCGGAUAAUAUUUUGAACCGCAUGGUUCAAUAGUGAAAGACGGUUUCGGCUGUCACUUAUAGAUGGACCCGCGCCGUAUUAGCUAGUUGGUAAGGUAACGGCUUACCAAGGCGACGAUACGUAGCCGACCUGGGAGGGGGAUCGGCCACACUGGAACUGAGACACGGUCCAGACUCCUACGGGAGGCAGCAGUAGGGAAUCUUCCGCAAUGGGCGAAAGCCUGACGGAGUAACGCCGCGUGAGUGAUGAAGGUCUUCGGAUCGUAAAACUCUGUUGUUAGGGAAGAACAAAUUUGUUAGUAACUGAACAAGUCUUGACGGUACCUAACCAGAAAGCCACGGCUAACUACGUGCCAGCCGCCGCCGUAA